rnacentral:rRNA from 1 species
AUACGUAGGUGACAAGCGUUAUCCGGAUUUACUGGGCGUAAAGGGCGUGUAGGCGGUCUUGCAAGUCAGAAGUGAAAUUCCUGAGCUCAACUCGGGCGCUGCUUCUGAAACUGCAGGACUUGAGUGCUGGAGGGGAUAGCGGAAUUCCUAGUGGAGCGGUAAAAUGCGCAGAUAUUAGGAAGAACACCGGUGGCGAAGGCGGCUUACUGGGCUUUUACUGACGCUGAGGCUCGAAAGCGUGGGGAGCAAACAGGAUUAGAUACCCUGGUAGUCCACGCUGUAAACGAUGAUUACUAGGUGUGGGGGGACUGACCCCUUCCGUGCCGCAGUUAACACAAUAAGUAAUCCACCUGGGGAGUACGGCCGCAAGGUUGAAACUCAAAUGAAUUGACGGG